CGGACGACGCUGGCGGCGUGCCUAACACAUGCAAGUCGAGCGGGGUUGAGGCGAGAGGUAACUCGAGCUUCUACCUAGCGGCGGACGGGUGAGUAACGCGUGGGCAACCUGCCUCAAGGUUUGGGAUAACAGCCCGAAAGGGCUGCUAAUACCGGAUAUGCCUAUGGCCUCGCAUGGGGCUAUGAGCAAAGGGGAAACCCGCCUUGAGAUGGGCCCGCGUCCCAUCAGCUAGUUGGUGAGGUAACAGCUCACCAAGGCGACGACGGGUAGCCGGCCUGAGAGGGUGACCGGCCACACUGGGACUGAGACACGGCCCAGACUCCUACGGGGGGCAGCAGUGGGGGAUCUUGCACAAUGGGCGAAAGCCUGAUGCAGCGACGCCGCGUGAGCGAAGAAGGCCUUCGGGUUGUAAAGCUCUGUCUGGAGGGACGAACAAAAUGACGGUACCUCCGGAGGAAGCCACGGCUAACUACGUG
rnacentral:rRNA from 1 species